rnacentral:rRNA from 1 species
ACGCAAAGGCCAUACCCUGGUUACGUACGCACGCGCUGCGGAACUCUGCUUGCGAGAUCAUUCAAUAAAGUGAUGGAUGCCGUUGUGCACUGUGUGACUGUGUCGUACCUAAACUCCAUCGCUUCUAUCUCACCCCCCCCCCCUCUCUACUAUGGUUGUCGUGGGAUGGAUGGAUGGAUGGGGGGAAUGGCAACGUAGCUCAGUGCGAUCGGCACUAAGGAACAAUGAAUGUACUCUGAAGCAGAGGGCCCCUCAGCCGUGCGUACGUGCACACGGGGAGCCCAGCGCGUCAGAGAUUUCUCUGAAUCAAAUGUACUCUCGGCUAUGCGAUAUCUCGCAUCUCUUGCAUCUAUGAAGAACGUAGUGAAAUGCGAUACUUUGUGUGAAUUGCAGAAUCUCGUGAACCAUUGAUUCUUUUAAUCGCAAGUUGUGCCCGAGGCCUUUUGGCCGAUGGCACGCCUGCUUUGCUAGUCAUGGCAUUGCCGCCUUUUCUCCCUGCGAUGCUGGUGCUUGAGCGCGUAAAUUGGCCCCGUGUGCCCUCCUCCUUCUGGCGGGCACAGUCCGUUGACGAGCGGGUAGUCUCAAGUCUUCUGGCACGAUGGGUGUUGGUUUCGCCACGAGCGGGAACCGAACAUUGUCCUCUUCUUUUUGGGGUGAGCCCUCAAUUCAUGUGAAGAAAGAAGACCCUGUGUGAUUUGAUUGCGGCGGCGGGCGAAAGUGCCACGUCGUCACGUCCAUCAAUCAACUUGUGGCCCCAACUCAGGCGAGACCACCCCCCCAGUUCA